rnacentral:rRNA from 1 species
GGUGCGAGCGUUAAUCGGAAUUACUGGGCGUAAAGCGUGCGCAGGCGGCGCCGCAAGUCAGGCGUGAAAUCCCCGAGCUUAACUUGGGAAUGGCGCUUGAAACUACGGUGCUGGAGUGUGGCAGAGGGAGGUGGAAUUCCACGUGUAGCGGUGAAAUGCGUAGAGAUGUGGAGGAACACCGAUGGCGAAGGCAGCCUCCUGGGCCAACACUGACGCUCAUGCACGAAAGCGUGGGGAGCAAACAGGAUUAGAUACCCUGGUAGUCCACGCCCUAAACGAUGAUGACUAGUUGUUGGGGGAGUUAAAUCCCUUAGUAACGCAGCUAACGCGUGAAGUCAUCCGCCUGGGGAGUACGGUCGCAAGAUUA